rnacentral:rRNA from 1 species
AGCUUAUUUUGCGCAGCUUAGGUGGGAGGCUAUGAACCUUUUCUUCUGGGAAGAGGGGAGCCGUCAGUGAGAUACCACUCUUGGUAAGCUAGAGCGCUCAGUCUUAACCGUCAUCCGGUAAGACGACAGUUUCAGGCGGGCAGUUUGACUGGGGCAGUCACCUCCCAAAAGGUAAUGGAGGUGUGCAAAGGUUCCCUCAGGCUGGACGGAAAUCAGCCAUAGAGUGUAAAAGCAAAAGGGAGCUUGACUGCGAGACUGACAUGUCAAGCAGAGACGUAAGUCGGCUUUAGUGAUCCGACGGUGCUGUGUGGAAAGGCCGUCGCUCAACGGAUAAAAGUUACUCUAGGGAUAAC